GAUGAACGCUGGCGGCGUGCCUAAUACAUGCAAGUCGAGCGAACAGACGAGGAGCUUGCUCCUCUGACGUUAGCGGCGGACGGGUGAGUAACACGUGGAUAACCUACCUAUAAGACUGGGAUAACUUCGGGAAACCGGAGCUAAUACCGGAUAAUAUAUUGAACCGCAUGGUUCAAUAGUGAAAGACGGUUUUGCUGUCACUUAUAGAUGGAUCCGCGCCGCAUUAGCUAGUUGGUAAGGUAACGGCUUACCAAGGCGACGAUGCGUAGCCGACCUGAGAGGGGGAUCCGCCACACCGGAACCUAGGACCCGUCCAGAAUCCCAAGGGAAGCAAGCAGAGGGAAACUUCCGGAAAUGGGCGAAAGCCUGCGGGAGAAACGCGGCGGGAGGAAUGAGGGCCUUCGGUUGGUAAACCUUGGUUAUAAGGGAAAAAAAAAUGUGAAAGUAAUUAUGCCCGUCUGGAGGGUACCUAAUCAGAAAGCCACGCCUACUACGUG
rnacentral:rRNA from 1 species